rnacentral:rRNA from 1 species
GACGAACGCUGGCGGCGUGCUUAACACAUGCAAGUCGAACGGAAAGGCCCUGCUUUUGCGGGGUGCUCGAGUGGCGAACGGGUGAGUAACACGUGAGUAACCUGCCCUUGACUUUGGGAUAACUUCAGGAAACUGGGGCUAAUACCGGAUAGGAGCUCCUGCUGCACGGUGGGGGUUGGAAAGAUUCGGCGGUUGGGGAUGGACUCGCGGCCUAUCAGCUUGUUGGUGAGGAGGUGGCUUACCAAGGCUUGGACGGGUCGCCGGCCUGAGAGGGUGACCGGCCACAUUGGGACUGGGAUGCGGCCCAGACUCCUACGGGAGGCAGCAGUGGAGAAUAUUGCACGAUGGGCGGAGGCCUGAUGCAGCAACGCCGCGUGCGGGAUGACGGCCUUCGGGUAGUAAACCGCUUUCGCCUGUGACGAAGCGUGAGUGACGGUAAUGUGUAAAGAAGCACCGGCUAACUACGUG